rnacentral:rRNA from 1 species
GGACGAACGCUGGCGGCGUGCUUAACCCAUGCAAGUCGAACGGAAAGGCCCUGCUUUUGUGGGGUGCUCGAGUGGCGAACGGGUGAGUAACACGUGAGUAACCUGCCCUUGACUUUGGGAUAACUUCAGGAAACUGGGGCUAAUACCGGAUAGGAGCUCCUGCUGCAUGGUGGGGGUGGGAAAGUUUCGGCGGUUGGGGAUGGACUCGCGGCUUAUCAGCUUGUUGGUGGGGUAGUGGCUUACCAAGGCUUUGACGGGUAGCCGGCCUGAGAGGGUGACCGGCCACAUUGGGACUGAGAUACGGCCCAGACUCCUACGGGAGGCAGCAGUGGGGAAUAUUGCACAAUGGGCGGAAGCCUGAUGCAGCAACGCCGCGUGCGGGAUGACGGCCUUCGGGUUGUAAACCGCUUUCGCCUGUGACGAAGCGUGAGUGACGGUAAUGGGUAAAGAAGCACCGGCUAACUACGUG